CCUAUCUCUACACUCAUACUAGCACACUCAAGUGUGUAGCAACAGCUUCUCCUUUAAUCUCACACUUCAGCCCCAAUUCGCCACUCUCCACUUUUCUACACUUGGAAACUUUGGGAGAGCAGAGACUUCAAUCAAGUGCUCUGCCACUUCAAGGUAAGCUUUGGCUACAAUUCCUCCAUCUUCUCCAUAACUCUACCUGCAUUGAUUGAGGAAACAACAAUUGUUUAAACUGUUCCAGCCAUUCAAGUUCAUUCAAAACAUCAACAGUUGAAGAAGUGAGGAAGAGAGAGAGGGAUCAGGCAUUCAAUACUUGCUAAAAUAAAGGUAAACGUUGCCUUAGUUCUUUCAACUGUCCAUGAUUCUCCCGCAUUAAUUGAGAGGAACCGGCCAUUGUAAUCAUUUCAGAUUAUCUCAGUUAUUCAAUACCACAGCAACACCAACCAACAUUUAUACUUCAAGGU
rnacentral:lncRNA from 1 species